UGUCCAGACUCCUACGGGAGGCAGCAGUGAGGAAUAUUGGUCAAUGGGCUUACGCCUGAACCAGCCAAGUCGCGUGAGGGAAGACUGCCCUAUGGGUUGUAAACCUCUUUUGUCAGGGAGCAACGCCGGCUACGUGUAGCCGGACUGAGAGUACCUGAAGAAAAAGCAUCGGCUAACUCCGUGCCAGCAGCCGCGGUAAUACGGAGGAUGCGAGCGUUAUCCGGAUUUAUUGGGUUUAAAGGGUGCGUAGGCGGACAGUCAAGUCAGCGGUAAAAAUGCGGUGCUCAACGCCGUACAGCCGUUGAAACUGGCAGUCUUGAGUGGGCGAGAAGUAUGCGGAAUGCGUGGUGUAGCGGUGAAAUGCAUAGAUAUCACGCAGAACUCCGAUUGCGAAGGCAGCGUACCGGCGCCCAACUGACGCUCAUGCACGAAAGCGUGGGUAUCGAACAGGAUUAGAUACCCGCGUAC
rnacentral:rRNA from 1 species